rnacentral:rRNA from 1 species
UACGUAGGGACCAAGCGUUGUUCGGAUUUACUGGGCGUAAAGGGCGCGUAGGCGGCCUGGUAAGUCACUUGUGAAAUCUCCGGGCUUAACUCGGAACGGCCAAGUGAAACUGCCUCGCUAGAGUGCAGAAGGGGCAAUCGGAAUUCUUGGUGUAGCGGUGAAAUGCGUAGAUAUCAAGAGGAACACCGGAGGUGAAGACGGGUUGCUGGGCUGACACUGACGCUGAGGCGCGAAAGCCAGGGGAGCAAACGGG